CCCAACACCAUUGCUGCUGAGGGAUUAUUCCACGUUGGGGAGAAAGUUAUGUUGUUUGACUCUCAAGAAGAUAAAGAAAUGGAAUGGCAGCUGGAGAGGACAGGAAGAUUUGCAUGACAGUAGAACUACUGAUGUGAUGGACAGGAGCCAUGAAGUCAUUUCAAUGCCUACUUGUAAUCUAAGUUAUCCAGCCCUAUGUGAGUAUGUAAGACGGUGUUCUCCACCAGCACCGUCUUUAAAGAUGUAGAAGUGUCUGCAGGCUUAAAUGCAUCUCCUUUUUAUUUCAUGAAUGAAGAAUCCAUCAGAAAUCUCUGCACAAAGGCACUUCCAGUGGUAAUGGGCUGAUACACCAUUGCUGCAAACGCUGCAGGUCUGAAGUUUAUCUGGUUGGUUAACAGUGCGGGAUGAGAAUUUGUGGCAGUUUCUCACUGAGUUUCUCCAAGCACAGAGGAUUUGAACUGUAAUAAAUGCUGGAAGACAUCGGAUAGCUGCCAGGUGGGAUGGGUAUUGCCAUCUGCGAUUCCUUCCAGCAGCCCAAGCUCUCUCCUCAGACACUAUUUUUC
ensembl:lncRNA